GACCUCUGCCCCAGCCGAGCCAGUCCACACUUUUUCGCCAUUCCAAGCCUUGUGGAGGUGUGAGGUCUGUUAGGCCGUGACAAUCGUUCUCUCAGGCUUUCGACACCACAAGCAGCCGCCGGGAACCCUGCUGGACAUACGGGGAAGGUCCCUGCCUCCCCUGAUGCCUGGGGGCAGACUCCUGGCUGGUGGCUGUCCUCCUCACACCUCCUGCCUCCACAUGUCUUCUCAAAGGUCUUUUUGGUGGUCGGGCUGUGAGUCUCCCUGCCUUGCCAAUGGAAGACUUUCCUCCCCGGCCUUCCUCCUCCUUCAGGUCUUCCAGCUGGUCUCCUCCCGUGUACCUCCACAACUCCUCUGGAAGGUGGAGAGGGAGGAGUGCGGACAAUAACGCUGCCUGUUCAGUGUGGGCCCCAAACACCUAAAUGCCAAGGAAGAGAACAUGAAGGUGACGGCAAUGAGAGAGGAGGAGGCAGAGGACGAGGGAAUGAUUUAAAUGCUGCGGAAGAGAGCUGUCUGGGAACUGGCUUGAAGAGAGAUAAGAGGAAGAGGAGGAAGAAGAAGAACAAGAGGAGGAGAAGGAUGAAGGGGGAACACAGGAAACAAUUGGUGAGUGUUGUUAACUUCAUCAGUAAUUCCUUGUUCAUCUUCCUCUGGCAGUAAUUUUCAUCCUACAGUUGUUUCUUUUGUGUUAAAUUCUUGGUCUUCUUUUUUUCCAUUCCCAGCUGAGUCUCCUUGAUGUUAGUUCCCAGCACACACCUCGUAGCAGUUUGGUGGUUUGCACAUUUCCUAAAAAUAUUUUCACAACAGAUAUCAACAGUUUCAUUGAGAGGAAUAUUUGUAAAUAGGGAUUUUACAUCAAAUGAUGCCAUGAUACAAUUUUGUAAGUAGACCUGCAGGUUUUUUGCGCGAAUGAAAGUGUCUUUACAGCUUGCACGCACAGAUGACUUGACUUUUGCACCGGAGUCCAUGCUCAGAGAUAUGCCACGCACCAUGCCAUCAUUAGAAUGCAAGAGGCAUUAACUUAGAGGCAGUGACUUGCUACAUCUUUUUCUCCACUCACUGGUGUGAGGGAAGGAGGGUCUCCCUCCCUCCAGGGGGCUUGAGUUUGCAUGGUCUUGAACAAUUCAGUCUGAACUUUAGCCACAUCCUGGUGUUUCCGCCCAUUUUUUCUGGAUUACGUAACAGCUGGAAGACAUCCAGGAGGCAGCAGUCUCUGAUCUUUACAUUGCUGGACACAAAAAUAAGGAAACUUUCAAGCUAAAAGGACUGAACAGUGAGAAACUUGACCCACUGAUUUAAGGCCGGCAGAGAGUGGACACUCAACAACCAGGGGAAAAAAAACUACAGAAGCAGGAACAUGUUAGGACGAUAGAUGGCUUGAUGUCACUCCUCACCUUAGAACCAGGAAACUGAGAGAACAAACCCACACUCUCCCUGGUGAUGUGUCGCUCCGUACAGGGCAAGAAACUGCAACGUGACCUUGGCUGCAGGUGUUAUGGCGCGCAGAAGAAGCCACUGAUAAGUGACCUCCAAAGGAAGAGGAGGCUUCAUUAUGCCCAGCCAUGUAAAGAUCAGAUUGUUUUGCCUCCUCUAUGUUUUCCAUCCCUUAUGUAAUCCAGCAACAAUGGCUGGAAACACAAGGAGAAUAUGGGGGAAAUUUCAGGAUGAAUUGUUCAAGGCAAUACACACUGUCAACCCCCACAGGAGGGAGGAAGGGGGAACCUCUUUUCCUCACACCGGUGCAGAUGUAAGUCACUGCCAGACACACACUCCUGCCUUGUAAUGAUGGUAUGGGAGUUAGAUAUGAAGUUGCACGGCAUAUCUCCAUGUGCGGGCUCUGGCGCAGAAGUCAUCCGUGCAAGCUGUACAGGAAUAGACAUGAAUAUAGGAGUGUAAGUAGAUAUGUAUCAGUGGGUGAAUGUACAACAGCCAUGUGCACUACGCGUCCUCACACUAGGGGCUGUAUUAAUGAUAAUAAUAAGUUGUGGGGAUGUUGUCUGUCCUUGGUAUGGUACACACAAAACUGUUCAUAACUCUUGUCCCAGCACCAACAGGGGCUCUCCAAACAUUGCAACAAUACAGCUGGAGAAUCCUUCAUCCAGAAUUCAGAAAUCCAAAAGUUUUUUGAAUGCUGAUAUGACGUGUUAUUUCUUUAUUUUUUUUCUUUAUUUUUUUCUUUAUAUACAUAUUUUUCUAGCCACCUCACUGUGGGGACGCAGACUAUAUGGAGGCCGUCAAGCGUGUACUUUUCUCCGAGAAGGGACCACAGACCCUUGCCGGGUGAUGGCUCAUGGAGGGGAGGGAUGGAUGCCGAUAGACUACUCUGUCCCCUGACGUCAGCCUAGCCGACCAAGUCAGUCUCUCGACGAGGACUGGCGAAUCUCUUUGUACAGGUCAAAGACGUGACCGUGGGUUCCCUUUGUUCGCUGCAAGACAAGAGUGCUCAAAGUGGAAAACAAUGGGAAUAGAGUUAGGGCUGCCACCUUAAGAACAUAAGAACGCAGGAGUCUG